rnacentral:rRNA from 1 species
AGUCGAGCGGGGAAAAGUAGCUUGCUACUUGACCUAGCGGCGGACGGGUGAGUAAUGCUUAGGAAUCUGCCUAUUAGUGGGGGACAACAUCUCGAAAGGGAUGCUAAUACCGCAUACGUCCUACGGGAGAAAGCAGGGGACCUUCGGGCCUUGCGCUAAUAGAUGAGCCUAAGUCGGAUUAGCUAGUUGGUGGGGUAAAGGCCUACCAAGGCGACGAUCUGUAGCGGGUCUGAGAGGAUGAUCCGCCACACUGGGACUGAGACACGGCCCAGACUCCUACGGGAGGCAGCAGUGGGGAAUAUUGGACAAUGGGGGGAACCCUGAUCCAGCCAUGCCGCGUGUGUGAAGAAGGCCUUUUGGUUGUAAAGCACUUUAAGCGAGGAGGAGGCUACCGAGAUUAAUACUCUUGGAUAGUGGACGUUACUCGCAGAAUAAGCACCGGCUAACUCUGUGCCAGCAGCCGCGGUAAUACAGAGGGUGCAAGCGUUAAUCGGAUUUACUGGGCGUAAAGCGCGCGUAGGUGGCCAAUUAAGUCAAAUGUGAAAUCCCCGAGCUUAACUUGGGAAUUGCAUUCGAUACUGGUUGGCUAGAGUAUGGGAGAGGAUGGUAGAAUUCCAGGUGUAGCGGUGAAAUGCGUAGAGAUCUGGAGGAAUACCGAUGGCGAAGGCAGCCAUCUGGCCUAAUACUGACACUGAGGUGCGAAAGCAUGGGGAGCAAACAGGAUUAGAUACCCUGGUAGUCCAUGCCGUAAACGAUGUCUACUAGCCGUUGGGGCCUUUGAGGCUUUAGUGGCGCAGCUAACGCGAUAAGUAGACCGCCUGGGGAGUACGGUCGCAAGACUAAAACUCAAAUGAAUUGACGGGGGCCCGCACAAGCGGUGGANCAUGUGGUUUAAUUCGAUGCAACGCGAANANCCNUACCUGGUCUUGACAUAGUAAGAACUUUCCAGANAUGGANUGGUGCC